GGACUCAAUCCCAGGACCAUAGGCUCAUGACCUGAGCCACCCAGGCACUCCCAUCUUUUUUUUUUUCCACUUAAUUACAUGCUAAGCACCAUGUUAAUUUUUUUUCUUUAAUUGAGACUUUUUUAAAAGAGAUUUUAUUUAUCUAUUUGACAGACAUCAAGAGAGGGAACACAAGCAGGGGGAGUGGGAGAGGGAGUAGGCUUCCGAUUGAGCGGGAAACCUGAUGCAGGGCCUGAUCGCAGGACCCUGGGAUCACGACAGGUCUAAGGCAGACGCUUAACCACUGAGCCACCCAGGCGCCCCACCAUGCUAAUUUUCUUGCCUGUAUUUAACUCUUAAAAUUACCCUGUGACAUAGGGGCUAUUAUUGUGCCCAUUCUACAGAUGAAGAAGCAGAGAUUAAGUGACUUGCCUGUGGGCAUGGAGUGUGGAGGCAGUCUUCUAACUCAGGUUGGCCUUACUUGGAAGCCAUUGGAGAGUAUGAGGCAUUUUUCAGUCAUGGCCUUUUAUUGGAAUUAUUUUGAUCUUGAAUUAGAUUAGAAAGAGGGAAAGUCUUCUCUCUCCCACAGGAGCUAGCCCAGUGCUUCCCAUAUAGGAGGAAGCUAUGAAAGAUUUUCUGGCAGCGACAGCUGUUAACAAAGACAAGUGGAGAAUUACAUGCUGGUUUGUGGUGCAGUAAGAUUGAACUUUACUUCGCCCUAAUUAGUCAGUUGGUUUAAUCACAUUUGUGGUGCUUGCAGGCCUUAGAAGUUACAGCUGGAAGGGACCUUAGCACUCAUCAACUCUAACUCCCACAUUUCACAGCCAGAGAAACAGUUGCAGAAACGAGAUGGCUUGUCCAAGGGCACACAUCUCAUUAGUUGCAAAGCAAGGACAAGAUCAGAGCGGACUCCUACCACCCUGCGUCAUUCUCCAAUCUAAUUCACAAAUUCACCUCCUUUCUUCAAAUCAGGCUCCCUCUCCUGCCCACAUGUGGUCCCCUGAUGCCUGGUGCAGUCAGUGAGCAGCCCGGGCCUCCCACCCGAAUCGGGCCUGCUUCCUGGCGUGUCAGCAGGCCCUCCGCCAGCAUUGAGGAGUUGGGCUUACUGGGAAGGGGGCGCGGGGGUGAACCUCUGUGCCCGGUCCAGUCAAGCUGCCUCCAUCAGAUCCGGAGGCGUCCGCAUGAUGGAGGUGUGAUGACUGCUGGCUUUAUGAUCUAGAGCCCGAACCUGCAGCAGGACCGAUGGCCCAGGCUGGUGACCACUUCCCCGUCCCCGCUGCUGCGGUCUUCCCCAUUCUGAAGGCCCACAGCGGUUGAGGUCUGUGCCACGCCAGUGAGAACUUGGCCAUGCGCUGCCCAGGGGUGUUCCUGUUGCACCGACAGAGCUGGUCCGGCCUCCCCAGCAAGAGUUAGGGGCUCCUUCAGGACUGGGAUGGGGCGGCUGGUACUACCCUGACCUCCAGCUUCUUGAUGGCACCAGAUGACACCUGCUUUGCACCGGGGGGCCUCGUCUCUCAGCUUUUACGACUUUACCCUCACAAUACUUGGCCCAGGGAGGCCCUCAGUUCAUGGUUCCUAGAUGAACGAGUGAUAUUUUUUUCAUUAAUAAAGGACAAGAAAGACCUUUCUGAAAAUUUGCA
ensembl:lncRNA